rnacentral:rRNA from 1 species
CACGUAGGGCGCAAGCGUUGUCCGGAAUUAUUGGGCGUAAAGGGCUCGUAGGCGGUUUGUCGCGUCGGGAGUGAAAUCCACUGGCUUAACUGGUGGCUUGCUUUCGAUACGGGCAGACUGGAGGUAUGCAGGGGAGAACGGAAUUCCUGGUGUAGCGGUGAAAUGCGCAGAUAUCAGGAGGAACACCGGUGGCGAAGGCGGUCUCUGGCGGAUGUCCUGACGCUGAGGAGCGAAAGUGUGGGGAGCGAACAGG